CUGCUUACAUAUGUAGUCUUUGUUAAUUAUAGAAUUUGUUUAAUCAGAUGUUCUUUAAAAAGAGGAAUUGAUUCUGUAAAUGUAGGUAUUAGUAAUUUUCCAGUAGGUGCCCUCCCAGUACCCCUCAAAAGUCCAAGAGUAAGCAAAAGAUAAAAAUAGCACCUAUAAAAAGGGAGAGUAUCCCCAACCCUAUAAAAUCCUGCCUCAAAGAUGGGUCUGGGCUCUCAGUCUGAAGCCUCUACGACGGUGAGGCCUGAAAGUCCAGCCUCAAGCUUGCAAUAAACUCCUCUUGCAAUUGCAUUGGACCUGACUCCUUGGUGGUCUUUGGGGACUCCUUGGUGGCGUAACAUUUGGGGGCUCAUCUGGGAUCCCCAAACACCUAAGGACUCCCUCCAAAGGAAAUUGGCCAGCAGAACGUGCACAUACCUCUCCAAGGAUUAUCAACAAAAAGAGCUCCUACAGGAUGCCAGAUCCAAAGUAAAAGAAGAACUCGAGGCACAUCAAAACUACCACUGGCACUAAUGAUACAAGACCCGACCCUGAUCUCGAGGACCUAAAAGACCCUUGCCCCAUUUUUUUAGGUUCCACGUCACCCCCUUUCAGCAGGCAGUAGCUUAAUGAGGACGACACCCAAAUUCCCAUGAUUGGGUUCCUAAGGUCCUUGAGAAGGCGGGAAUGUAAGGACCAAGUUUGCAAGUCAAGGAGGGCUCCCUCUGUGCCCUUUGCCCACCUCUGCC
rnacentral:lncRNA from 1 species